UGAUUUUAGGCAAUCUAGACAUUACAAUUGAUAAUGUUUCCUCAGACUUCCCUAAUUAUGUUAAUUCAUCAUACAUUCCCACAAAACAAUUUGAAACCUGCAGUAAAACUCCCAUCACGUUUGAAGUGGAGGAAUUUGUGCCCUGCAUACCAAAACACACUCAGCCUUACACCAUCUACACCAAUCACCUUUACGUUUAUCCUAAGUACUUGAAAUACGACAGUCAGAAGUCUUUUGCCAAGGCUAGAAAUAUUGCGAUUUGCAUUGAAUUCAAAGAUUCAGAUGAGGAAGACUCUCAGCCCCUUAAGGUUUGUUUUUUUUUAAUAUAUGU
rnacentral:lncRNA from 1 species